rnacentral:lncRNA from 1 species
CCAUUUUCAUUGAAAUCGACAUCUUCAAAAAUGCUCCCUGAGUGCUGCCGUUGGAACUCGAAGCUUCGUUCCCUACUUCUCUGGGUGUUGUUCAAGCUAAAUCCAAGGUGGAUCUUAGCUGAAAUCUUGAUAUCAGCUUCACUCUUCUCAAGUGAGAAAUGUUGCAUUUGCAAAAUCAUCCUCUGUGUUUUCAAAUCUAAAGUAUUCCUCCCGUUUUUCUUUUUGUCACUGGUCUUGGGUCCUCAGAUGACCAGAAUUUGGAGUUUGAAGAUUCUUGUUUGUCUCUUUCUGGGCAUACUGUUAAACCCUCUUUUCUGUAGUCUUUAAUCUCCUAUGUUGUGGUUGUUGUUUGAUGCACGCUGUUAGGUUUGUAAAUAUUCAUGCUACUAUGUUGGUUAUUGAUGAACUAUUCUCCUUUUCUUGAUCCUGAUAUGUGGGAUUUGGUUUUUAUCAAUGUUUAGAAAUCGCCUUGUUUUUACUGUUAGUUGUUGAUCUAAGUGAUAUUUUUGUAUAUAUUGUGUCUCUAUUACUUCAUUUGCCAGA